CCGCGUGUGUGAAGAAGGCCUUCGGGUUGUAAAGCACUUUCAGUUGUGAGGAAAGGUUGGUAGUUAAUACCUGCCAGCUGUGACGUUAACAACAGAAGAAGCACCGGCUAACUCCGUGCCAGCAGCCGCGGUAAUACGGAGGGUGCGAGCGUUAAUCGGAAUUACUGGGCGUAAAGCGCACGCAGGCGGCUUGUUAAGCUAGAGGUGAAAGCCCCGCGCUCAACGUGGGAACUGCCUUUAGAACUGGCAGGCUAGAGUCUUGGAGAGGGGAGUGGAAUUCCAGGUGUAGCGGUGAAAUGCGUAGAUAUCUGGAGGAACAUCAGUGGCGAAGGCGGCUCCCUGGCCAAAGACUGACGCUCAUGUGCGAAAGUGUGGGUAGCGAACAGGAUUAGAUACCCUGGUAGUCCACACCGUAAACGCUGUCUACUAGCUGUUUGUGUAUUUAAUACGUGAGUAGCGAAGCUAACGCGCUAAGUAGACCGCCUGGGGAGUACGGCCGCAAGGUUAAAA
rnacentral:rRNA from 1 species